rnacentral:misc_RNA from 1 species
UUUUGUAGUUUUGUUUCUUUAUGGUCUCUUCCAUUUGUUAACCGUGUAUGCACACACUUCUUUUCCCACCCUUGUGCUAUCCAGGUGCAAAAGAGGCUCACUCGGUUUCUCCACAUUUUGCACAAUUGAUGUAUUUUAGCUUGAUUUCUGUGCUGUUUGUGACUCCCAUGCACUUCACAAUUGGUCAGGCUGCAGCACUGGCCCGAUCCUUCUGGAAGA